rnacentral:lncRNA from 1 species
UGAAGGGACACUGCAUUAUUUUGAUGUGUGGCACAUUGCCAAAAGUCUGGGGAAGGCAUUGGAUGCAGCUUCAAAAGAGUGUGACCAACUACAGUUGUGGAGGCCUGCUAUAGUGAAUCACCUCUAUUGGACUGCAGCCUCAACCCCAGAUGGCAACCCAGCGGUCAUGGAGGCCAAAUGGAGAAGUUUAGUGAACCACAUCCAGGACAUUCAUGACCAUGACACCCAUGCCUUCUCCAGUUGUGCCCAUGGCCCUCUAGACGGGGAUCAGCGCAACAAAGAGUGGUUGGACCCAGGUUUCUCACUAUGGCAACGAGGUCCCAGCGUGUCUCUCUCUCCCUCCCUCUGUGGUGUUCCGGCUUAUAUCUGGUCUCUCCACGCCAAUUACUGCAAUCAAACACACGUGUUCAUCAUAAUGCAAUUGGCCGACUUACGCCUCACUCUGCUCCCUCGUCUCUCUCCCGUUACAGAUUCCGCCAAACCACGCCUCCCUCGCCACAGUUUUUAUUCUGGAAUUACAUCUUUCUGGAAUUCUGAAUUCUGAAAACACCAUAAGUUAUGCGAGUAACUUAUACAAAAUAAAUUUUUCCAAAGAAAUUGGUUGUUCGGGCAAACAGAGGCGUGAACCAGUCAAUCCAUAAGAGAACUGACCCGGGAAGUUCUUGUUGCUUUUUCGUCUAUGUACUUCGUCGGAUACUUGGUCUCAGCACAGCCUGUCCAUCUGUAUCCGUUAUGUCUUGUAUUUGUUUUUACUGUUUGUAUUGUUAUAUGCAUAUUUACUCUCUGUGAAUCGUAGUUUAAUGUAUUAUUAGUUCAAUUAUUAAAAUCCAAUAUAUAUUCUUGAUUGCUUCUGUCUAAAAUGCUCACAUCACAAUGAGUCAAUGGAAUGUUUGAUCUUAGCUACAAAGCUUAUUUGUUACUUUUCAGUAACCCAAAUUUUAUAAGGACAGUAGAAUAGUUUCAUGGUC